CUCAAUCCCGUCGAAAGGCUCCUCUCGCGCCCGGUCGCCUCCUCAGUAACGGCUCCCCGGCUGGCCCGGGUUCCCGUCUCCGUCCAUCGGCCUCUCCUCGGGACACCAGAGUCACUCGGAAUCGGAGGACACUUUGAAUGAGUCUGGAACGAAGCUGUGCCCAUGGACUUGGUCCAAUCCUGGAGCCUGACCCUUCACUUCUCGUUCCAUGUCAGACGUAAAACAACACCCCUCUUCCUUCUGUUGAACCAAUCUCCUUUGACCUGGACCCAUGGGACCCUCUGGACAUUGUGGCCUUGGGCUGGCACUCCCUCAGCAGUUUCCUUGACGCCUCCACUCCUCUGCUAAAGAAGACGUUGGCGCAGCACUCGAGAUCAGACCAACUGGCUGUCUGGGACUGGGGUGGAAGAAGUCUGUGCUGUCAGCUGACAUUCAGAACCUUUCAGGGGUGGUGGAGGGGAAUGGCUGAGUGGCCAACAUAUUUAAUUACAUCCCUGCUUGAGUCUUCUGCUCCAAAAGGACUGGGUUUUGCCUCCCCCCUCCCCCCGCCCCAUCAUUUCUGGCGCUCUCUUCCACUGGAGGGGAGGUGCCGAGGACGAGCAAUGUCCUGGGUCUGGAUGGGGAUUAGCAGGCAUCUGCAGCAGCAGUUUGCCAGACGACAGGAGGGUGAUGUUGGCACUGCAGACGUGAUGUUUGACUCUGAAAAUCCAGGUGAUUUAUUCCCCUGAUGCUUCACCUCUGGGCGGUGACCAAUCUGUCACAAAUGCAGCAGGACAGGGAACCUUGUGGAAAGUGAUUGCAAAGCAGACCUCUCCAAUGACCAGUUGCCAUGACCGUGCAGGGCUGGUGUAAGCCUGAUAGCUGACUGCAGAGAUUGCAAGAUGCUGAUUUGAUGUGGAAGUGAGUCCAUUGGCCAUCGUGCUGAGGGCGAGGACGAGGGUGGCAGUGUUUGGAAACUGGGACUGCAUCAGCACCAAUGUUGUCCUUACCAACUGCACCUGACUGCAUUAAGGUUCAGGGUACAUUUAUUGUCAAAGUAUGUAUGCAGUAUACAACUCAGAUUCAUCAUUAACACCACUAUUCUCCUGCAUCAGGACGUGGACGAAACAACCGGCCAACGACAGGCCAAAGGUAGUGGUGAGCACAGUCACAGAAUGAUGCCAUGCCAGGGACACUCUCACAUUCAGGCAAGGGCAGACAGAGAUUGACAGUGUUUCAUAGGUGCUUGGUGGCUCAAUGGGAGAGGGGUUAGAAAGUCCAAAGAAAAAUAAAUCUUCCAGAAUUCCCAUAUUGGCAGGAGGCUGUGGUGUAGAUCUAACCCAUGGGAUAUGGAGAUGGGAACUGUGCAUGGCACUCCCUCUGUGGGUCUGACCUUGUGAUAUGGAGACAGAAAAGUGCAUGGUGUUUCCGGUGUGGGUCUCAACUAGCCCUUUCCAGAUUUAACCCACUUUCAACAAUCCCACUGCCUAAUCCUCAGUACAUCUGGUUGAUAUUCCAGAUUGAUGAGUUUUUCCAUUUUCGCUGAAUGCCUAUGGAGGUUCAGAGAUUUCUGCCGAGUGGUGCCCCAAAGGGAAUGGUUUGCACAAUUGGAGCAGAAUCUUGCCUUGUGGAUUCUGUUGAAGACAGGCGAGGGCUGACAGCAAUUGGCAUGGCAUCAUGAUUCACUGUUUGCUGGUAUUCUAGAGUGUGUCUUAGGUCAGAAUGUUUAGAACAAGUUAUUCAAUUUCCCACACAUGCACUGUGCUCACAGUGUUCCUGAAGUACUGACUGGGGAUUAUGGAGGUGGGAACUGUGCAGGCGGACCCAGUCGGGCUGACCCAGAGGAUAUGGAAAUUGGAAGCACAGACAGUUCUGCCAGUGUGAGUCUGAAACAGCUCUUUCCAGACUUAAGCCAUGUUUGACAGUCCCACUGCCAAACCCUCAGUACCUGUAACUGAUGUUCCAGGGGCAUCCAGCAAGGAAGAAGGGCUUGUCUUGCUUCCUGUGAUAUAUGAUUCCUUGCCCGACUGUAUGUCUUGUGCAGAUGGGCAGCCACUCUUGCAACAGGACUGAGAACCCUGUGGAAAGACAUUUCAGAGCUCCGGAAAUAUUGCACUCUGCUCCUUUCCAGAUUUAAUCCAUGUCUGGCAGUCCCACUGUUUAAGAUCCAAUCAAAGUUUUCAAUCAGGAGACAAAGGCUGUCUGGGUUCCCACUGUAUGAGAUUCCUUGUCUUGCUGCUCAUCCAUCAGAGUUGUAGAUGGACUGUCACAGCUGCAACAUGACAUGUAACGCAGUGGAAAGAGAUUGUGAAUUUCCUGAAACUCUACUUUGUGCUGGGCUGUUGUCCUGGUGUGGUGUGACCCAAGGAAAUGAGGUCCAGAACCGUGACUGAUGUGGUCAGAAACAGAGAUUUGCCAUCAGUUGGACAGCUGGCAUUGUCCCAAGUCUCACAGCAGAAGUUAAAACAAAUAAUAUACAAAGGCAGUAUCAAGAGCAAUAAAGACAGAUUGGUUUUAAGAAGUUGUUGCCCAUUGAUUGAAGGAGGCUGACCUCGAGAGUGCAUGAUGGCUUUGAUCACAUGUACCUAAUACACAAACAAAACACCACAGUCUUAUCGGAGAGGACUGCAUGUCCGAUGUCCAGUUCCAGAGGGGGAGCGGGGCAGUGUGUUCGGUGUCUGCUCCCAGAGGGGGGAGAGGAUGAUGUGGCUGACAGCCAGUGUCGGGAGAGAGAGAGAGGAGGAUGCACCGACAUUGCCAUCAUUUACCGUUUACUUCUGCCCCUCAGCCCCUCACUGCAGGCCUAGCUGAAGAAUUAUACUGCAACACCCAUGUGUAUUCAUCCACCUCCCAGGGGAAUUUGCUGUAAACUCGCCUCACCCUCCCAGCCCUCUGACAUUCCCCUGUAAAACCCCACCCACUCCUCUCACUGGUUCUCUCAUCUUCCCUCUAUUAUCUGGCAGGCAGUUGCCAGUGUAACAAGAGAUGUGUUUGGUUCCUGUUGGAUACAGUAAUUUCUGAAGUAGGCUGCUCUUUGGCAAUGACUUAAAGGUGCAGACAGAGAGAGGCUGUGCUAUGAUCCUGUCUCUCUGGGCUCACUCCAGAAAAGUCAGUCUUGCACUUCACCUCAUUGCCUGAUGCCAGGGUAUGGCAGUUGUGUGACUCACAGGGGUAGAUGUCUUGGUGCGGGAGAGGAGGCUUGUUAGGGACAGGGAAGGAAGUGAAUGAGGGGACCCAACACCUCUCAACAUCCCCUCUUAAAAUAUGAGUUGGACCUGCCUUUUGCUGCCUGACAGCAUCCUGCAUUCCUCCUUAUCUUCUCCAGCCCUCCCGGUACAGGACAAGGCAUGUCAUUCUCUCUUCUCCCCACCUCUCUUCAAGUAGAAAAUAAAAAAUCCUGAUAACACACAUACUAGGCUCAAGACAGCUACUACAUUAUUAUAACACUUAUGGUAAGAUGGGGGACGUCACAAUUGUUGUGGCCCUUGCACCUUAUUGCAUGUUGAAAUAAUCAGUAUGGCUGGUAUGCAAAUCAUUGAGUUUCACUACAGUCUGUGGUUUAUGCUCUCUGGCUUAAGCUCUGCAGUCUGUGCAUUACAUGUAACAAUAGUAAACCAUUUUAUGUGGAAAUUGUGCAAGUAGAAGGCAGUUAAUAAGUUCAUCACAACAUCGUGGGCUGAGUAGCCUGUUCCUGCACUGAAGAGUGUUCUGUAAUUUGUUAUAUUUACUUGUGAAUGCUGCAUUUCUGAUGCUAUGUGCCUGUGAUGCUGAUGCAAGUAAUAAAUGGAUUCAACAA